AUUUUUUUGGUUUUUUUUCUCUCCCCAGACUUAUUCUUUUUAGAGAGUAAACAAAGGGGAACUCGCAUACUGGAUCGACACCCUCGGCAUUUUUCCAACCUUUAUAAUUGAUCAUUCCA
rnacentral:sRNA from 1 species